ensembl:lincRNA
GUCGUGGCUGCCUCCAUGUCCUGAGUCAGUUCAAAAUGUUUACCUUUCAUGGUCAUCUUGACUUUGGGGUAGAGCCAGGAGCCGGACAUCGCAUGGUGCCAGGUCCAGUGAACCGGAUGGACGAGAAUUCCCUGUGACAUUUGUGAGCCCUCCUUUCUAUUGGACGGCACUCAGCAGCAGCAGAGGUCACCACGUCUUCAUCACACAUUACAAAGAUACACAGGACAGAAGACUUCUCCAGGACUUCUUCGGAGAGUAGCAGGGAUGAUGGGAUGAAUGUGUGUGAAGUGUAUUGGGGCCAAAGAGCAACACAGAACACACAGGACCACGCGGGGCAGGAGGAAGGAUAUGUUGAAGAUUGAACAAGACAAGAAAUAAGAGAGGAAAAAGAUGAGGAAAACACUUACAUGAUACCUGAACCACACGCAUAUGAGAAUCUCAAGAGUUUUGGAACAGUUUUGAGGUUAUGUAUGAUAAAUGAACAACAUAAAAUCAAGCAGAAAAGCCAUCAAGAUGUACAGAAAGAAGGACAGAAGCUUGGUCCUUUAAAAUCUCUGGACUCCUUUGCAUUGAAGAUAAAUAGCAACCAAGGACAGCUUCACCUUAGGAAAGUCCCUUCAAAAACUCUGUUUCUCUUGAUACGGGUGGCAAGAUCAGGGAUCACAUAUGGACACAGAACAAAGAUUUUCCAAGCAGAGGGAAAAGCAGCAUGUGUGGAAGAGUUAUUACUUCCCAGAGAAUAUUUGCCUAUAUCUGCUAACUUUGGAUCAGAAAGAGUCGUGAACUUUCAGCCAAACAAAGAGAAAGGGGGAAUUGUCCUGACCAUCUAGCAAAAUAUGAACUGAAUGAGCCUUCCAAACCCAAGAACAGGGCUCUGCUCACAGGCUCUCUGUGGGAUCAUGGACAGUGACUUGAAAUGCAGGUCAAAAAACAGGAUUGCAAUCAUUUGAGGGUUCAUAAAAUCUUAAAAGAAAAGAAACAGGUGAACAAAAACUCCAUCAUAAAAAAAAAGUCCUGCGGAUGUGAGAAGUGCGCCUGGAGACAUUUCAAACGUCCUUCAUUUCAGCAAAUAAGUAGAUAUAAUCAUAUUUCACAAAUAGGCCUUGCUUCGGGGCAUAGUGAGGGAGGGAUAAACACUCCUAAUUGCAAGUUUAUACACUGGGCAACACAGUCUGGGAAACAACCACUAUUAAAAUAAUUCCCUCAGAUAUAUUUUGAAAACAUGUAAAAUGCAUAUGAAAACACCAGGAAAUACCUUUGAAGGCAGCAAGAGAAGAAAGAAUGCAAGACCGAGGUCCUUAGACUAAAGAUGUGCUAAGAUAGUGCUUACAGGGUGUUCCACUGCCCAGGUCCAUGGUUCUGGACUUCAAGCGACAGAGUCGUGUUUAACGCUCCUUACCCCACAAAUCCUAGAAAAGAGUCUCAUUGCCCCAACGUGAUUUUUCACGCCCUAUCACUUCAACCCAAAAUGAAAUGCAUUUGUUUGCUCAUGGAGCAGUAUGGGGAAUAGCAAAGGUCAGAGCAGUACAGCUGCCAUUAAAACAAAGUAGCUCAAUUAGGUUCUCAUAGUUAGCAGGUGAUGAAUGAAGGGCAAAGAGAAGGCUACACCUCACGUAAUAGGGCGAUAAUAGGAGCCUCAUUUAGGCUGCUCCAUUCCACUUUGGCUCGCAUCAGCUUUUCUAUUACACACGCAACUUUUCAGGAAGGUGAUAAUUCAAUUCAAGAGUAAGGAAAAAUGAAAGGAAAGUAAAUUAACUUUGGACUGAGACUUGAAAAGUAGGUUCAUCACCUGGGCAUGCACAGCCCCCCCCAAUAUGAAAGCAGAUCUCUUUUAAUUCUAAGCAAGAUAAUUGACUGUUCCCUAGCAGUUUUCUUUGCAUCAUGCUUCAUUGCACAGACCUGGCCCUGCUGCUGCUGAAUUUUCCCCUACUUGAAACACAGGAAACCUCUAUUCUAAUAGCACCAAGAAUGGGUUUAUUAAAAGCAGGUCGCCAAGGGUCCUGACUUUCUGCUAAGAUGGUCUCCUUAAGUGUUAAACGAGCACAAAGAAUAGAAAGCACCUCUGUAAUGGAUUAACUAAUGGUCAACUCGUAACCACCCAGCUGAACUGAGUCAGCAUGGUCUGGGAGCAGAGGAUCCACCUGAGGGCUGUUAUCAAACAUCUUGGCCCGCUGAUUUUCUAGGAGAAGCUUACUACAAAUGGUAUUCCUGAUACAAACUAGGCUGUUCUCAUUGGAGGAGGAGGUCGGGGCCUCACUAUCUCUGGGAAUGGCUGCUGUUUUCAUCAGGGGAGCUCUGAUCUUCACUGUCAACUUUUCUUGAGUUGUCUUGGCUUUUCUUCCUACUAGUGGUUUCUCCUUCAUCUUUUUUAGUAUAUGCAGAUGUGUCUAAUGUGCCCUCUUUUGUCAAUGUUAUGGUUUUUUGUUGUUGUUGUUUUGUUUUGGUUUUUUGAGACAGGGUCUCACUAUGUAGUUGAGACUGACCUAGAACUCACUAUGUAGCCUAGACUGGUCUCGAACUCACAGUGAUCCUCCUGCCUCAGCCUCCCAAGUGCUGGGAUUACAGGCAUGAGCCACCACACCUGGCUUCAAUGUUAUACUAAAAAUAUAUAAAAAGUAAGUCUCAAGAGGUGUGCUCAAGACAAUUUCUCUUCAUUCAAUGGAGCCCAGGGAAGCCAAAUGGCUACACACUCCUGAGGGUCUUUACUUCCUUUGUGUACUCUCUUGAGUGUUCAAUCUGUAGCUUCUGCUGGCUCUCAUGUCUUCCCACAAAUGUUCUCCUAAUUGGACCCCUCUCACACCCAACCUGCAACCCACCCUGCAACCACAGGAACUGGAGAUCUUCACGUCUCCUUCCAGGCAAGACUUCAGUGAGGAGCUCAGUGAGACCCAUAUGAGCAGUUUCCUCUUGGAUGGCCCACUGGGACCCCAUACUGUUUCCAAAAAUGGACUCAUUAAGACGCCUCUCAUCCUACACCGCUGGUGGGCCAUUAUGUUUGUGCUGCAUAUUUCAGACUCAUAAAUCUGGCCUUUUUCCUAAUAUUCAACAUUCACCCAUUCGUGUUUCAUCCCUUUGCUUUCACUUUCUUAGUUGAUAAAGUUAAUGCAAAUCCCAUGCUAUCAUUGUACCCUGACUCACAAUACCAUAUCACACUAAGGAAUGUCAUUUCAGUUUUUAAAAUUCACAACUCAAAAUCUACAUAAAUUGUAUUUGUUUGAUAAAUCUCAAAUAAUUUUUAUUUAAUGCUACCUCUUACUCCUGAUUUGUGGGCCACAUAGUUAAGAAACUGGGUGUUCAGGAAAAUUUUUCAUAUAAAGUCA